rnacentral:rRNA from 1 species
UACGAAUCGUCCAAACGUUGUUCGGAUUCACUGGGUUUAAAGGGCGCGUAGGCGGUGCGUUAAGUCGGCGGUGAAAUACUUCGGCUCAACCGGAGAAUUGCCGCUGAAACUGGCGUGCUCGAGGGAGGUAGAGGUGCGUGGAACUUCCGGUGGAGCGGUGAAAUGCGUUGAUAUCGGAAGGAACACCUGUGGCGAAAGCGAUGCACUGGACCUCUUCUGACGCUGAGGCGCGAAAGCCAGGGUAGCGAACGGG